CGACCUCAGUUCGGAUUGAAGGCUGAAAUUCGCCUUCAUAAAGUUGGAAUUGCUAGUAAUCGCGAAUCAGAAUGUCGCGGUGAAUACGUUCCCGGGCCUUGUACACACCGCCCGUCACACCAUGAGAGUCGAUAACACCCGAAGCCUGUGAGCUAACCUUUUAGGAGGCAGCAGUCGAAGGUGGGGUUGAUGAUUGGGGUGAAGUCGUAACAAGGUACC
rnacentral:rRNA from 1 species